rnacentral:lncRNA from 1 species
AUAUAUAUAUUUAUAUGUAUGUAUAUGUAUGUGUAUAAAACGGCAUUUCUUCCUGCAAACCUGUCAUUAUUCUACGUGAUAUCUCGUUCAUUAUACCUGAAGACGAUUCUGGAUGUGGGUGUAUAUACUAUUUAAUUACUUAUUUCUUUGGUUGUUUUGUAUGUAUAAUAAUUUCGUUAUCUGUUGUCUAAAUGUUUAUAUCGUUUUGUCGAUUUCUCAUUCGACUUAGCGCAAUUAUUAUCAUUAUUAUUAUUAUUAUUAUUAUUAUUAUUAUUAUUAUUAUUAUUAUUAUUAUUAUUGUUAUUAUUAUUGUUAUUAUUAUUAUUGUUAUUGUUGUUUUUGUUAUUAAUUGGCAGAAUCGUUAGCGCACCGGUUAAAAUGCUUAGCAGCAUUUUAUCCGUCUUUACGUUCUGAGUUCAAAUUGCGCCGACGUUUACUUUGUCUUUCAUGCUUUCGGGGGUCGAGGAAUUAAGUACCAGUUGAGUACUAGGGUCUAUGUAAUCGACUUAGCCCCUCUCCCAAAAUUUCAGGCUUUGUGCCUAUAGUAGAAAGGAUUACUAUUAUUAUUAUCAUUAUUAUUAUUAUUAUUAUUAUUAUUAUUAUUAUUAUUAUUAUUAUUAUUAUUGUUAUUAUUAUUAUUAUUAUUAUUAUUAUUAUUAUUAUUAUUAUUAUUGCAAGAUGCUUAGCAAUAUUUCGUUCAUCAUCACGUUCUAAGCUCAAAUUCCGCCGACGUCGACUUUGCUUUUUAUCCUUCGGGUCGAUAAAAUAAGUACCAGUUGAGCACUGGGGUCGAUCUAUUCGACUUACUGCCUCACCCGAAACUGCUGGCCUUGUGCCAAAAUUUGAAAUCAUUAUUAUCAUCCUCAUCAUUAGCAGCAGCAGCACCAUCACCACCACCAUCACCACCAGCAUGAUCAUAAUGAUCAUUAUUAUUAAGACAGCAGGCUGACAAGAGCGUUAGCAUUUCGGCCAAAAUGCUUUGUCGCAUUUCCUCCGGCUUGUGUUCAAAUCCGGCCGAGGCUGUCUUUGCCUCUCAGUACAUUCAGAGUUGAUACUGGUACAACCAAUUCAGCACUGGGGGUCGUUGUAAUCUAGUACUCUAGUCCCAAUUUGCAAAGCUGGUGCUAAAAUUUGAAAAGCAACCAGCUGGCAGAAUCUUUAGCCCGUUGGGUAAAGAUACUUAACGGAAUCCUUCCGGUACUUUAGGUUCUGAGAUUAAGUUCCGGCGAGAUUGACUUUGCCAUUCAUCAAAGAUGUAGCAAGUGACUUUUAAGAAUAAUAAUUUUUUUCUCACAUAACUUUAAUUGAUUUUGUAAAUGAACAAUCCGGUGUGUUUAUAUUAAUAACCUUUCAAUGUUAUACAGUGAGAUUCAUUAUCCUAGGUAUCGGGAAGACACUCGGCAAGAAAUGGAAGCAAAUUUGAAAGAAAAAACUAAUAAUAAUAAUAAUAAUCUUUCCUACUAUAAGCACAAGGCCUGAUGAAAUUUGGGGGGCGGGGCUGGUGGUGGUGGUGGGGACUAGUUGAUUACAUCGGCCCCAGUGUUUCACUGGUACUUAUUUCAUUGACCCCGGAAGGAUGAAAGGCGGAAUCUGGACUUAGAACGUAAAGACGGACGAAAUACCGCUAAGCAUUUUGUUCGGCUAAAUAACGAUUUUGAGUAAUUUUUUUUUUUUUUUUUGCUUUACAAGGUUAUCUCUUCAUAAUCUUUUAAAAUUAACUUGUAAAUGUUUUUUCUAAUAUCGGACGUGUGUAUUUAAUUUUCAGAAGAUUUACAACAUAUUUUACUGUUCCGGGGCGUUUUGGGCUGAUGUGUGCUUUGGUAUUUUUUGGUGGGGACAGAGAAGGAUUAUUGGUUGUGUUGUUGUGUUUUUUUAAAUAUUCGCCCGAAUGACAUACAUAUCCAUGUCUUGCAUAUCCAUGUUAUCUAUAUGCAAAUAUUCACACACACACACACACACACACACGCACACACACACACACACACACAAAUUGUAUGGAAGUAUGUAUGGUGUAUAAAUUUUCGAGUACUUAUCUUGUAUACAUACAUACACACGUAUAUAUACAUAUAUGAAAAUGUAUAUCUAUCCAUUUAUAUGUGUGUAUAUAUGUAUCUAUGUAUACAUAUAUAUGCAUGCAUAUGUGUGUGUAUAUAUACAUAUGUAUAUGUAUGUGUAUAUAUAUUAUAUAUAUAUAUAUGUAUAUUAUAUAUACAUGGUACUGCACAUGUAGAUGUAUGCGCAAAGUUCCUAGUUAUAUGUAAACAUCUAUGUGUAUAUUACAAAUUUGUAUGCGUACAUACAUACAUACUUACAUACAAACAUACAUACAAACUUAUAUAUAUAUAUGUGUGUGUGUAUAUAUAUAUAUAUACACACACACACACAAGUACGUAUGUAUGCAUGCAUAUUUGCAUGCGUAUAUGCAUAUAUGCAUAUAUAAGCAUGCGUAUAUAUACAUUCAUAUGUAUAUAUAAUAUAUAUAUAUAUACAUAUGUAUGCUUAUAUGUAUAUACAUCCACAAACAUCCACGCACACACACACACACACACACACAGAGACAGAACGUGAAAUUUUUAUCAACAUAAACAUCGAGCACUGACAGGUCGACUGAGGCAUGACGUGUCACAGGCUUAACAGACAAUAUCGUUAACCUUAUUUUGAUGUCUUGUGCAUUUUUGCUGUUCAAACUGGGAGGCAUUUAGCUGUUAUAUUUAGUAUUUCGAACAACGGAGACCGAUGGUGACGCCACAUCGCUUUGAAGUGCUUUCAUUGCAGAUACCUUUUUAAAUCUUUGUUUAUAUACGUAUAAGUUCACAUGUAAAUAUAAACUUUGUAUUCUUCCUGGUAUAUUUAUAUAAUAUUGUAUAUAUUUAUAUAUGGGUAUACAUGUUUAUAUGUAUACAUAUGUAUAAAUAUAUUACGUAAUAUGAUACAAUAUAGUAUGGAUGUACUUAUACAUUAUGUACGUUAGUAUAUACAUAACAUACGUUUGUGUGUAUAUAUAUAUAUAUAUAUAUAUAUAUAUAUUAAUGUACUCAUACAUAGAUUCAUACAUGCAUACAUGUAUACGUAAAUUGUAUAUAUGCAUAUGUGUUGUGCGCGUGUGUGUAUGUGAAUGUGUGUGUGUGUGUGUGUGUGUGUGUGUGUAUUUAUGUGUCUUUGUUUAUCGUUCCACCAUCGCUUGACAACUGAUGAUGAUAUGCUUUCAGCCCGUAAGUUAACGGUUCGGCAAAACUGAACGAUAGAAUAAGUAUUAGGCUUACAAGGAAUAAGUCCUAGGAUCGAUAUGUUCGACUAAAGCCGGUACUCUAGCAUGGCCGCAGUCAAAUGACUGAAACAUGUAUAAAAUAUAUACAUAUAUGUGUAUAUAUCCAUACACAGAAAUGCAUGUAAACAUGCGUAUAUGAAUAUACCGGCAUGCGUAAUAAUUAUAAGUAUUUUUACAUGCGCAUAUAUAUACAGAUAUGAAUAUACAUACAUUCACACACACACAUACACACACACAUAGAUAGAUAGAUAGAUAGAUAGAUAGAUAGAUAGAUAGAUAGAUAGAUAGAUAGAUAGAUAGAUAGAUAGUUAUGCAUGUGUAUAAGUAUGUUUAUUUAUAUACAUAUAUAUAUAUAUAUAUAUAUAUAUAUAUAUAUAUAUAUAUAUAUAUAUAUAUAUAUAAAGACAGGCGUUUUGUCACAGACAGAGCUCUGUGGCUCCGUGUUCAGGAUGCUGCAUUCAUGUGCGUGAGAUUGUGGUUUCGGUUCUCCAACCGGUCGGUGCGUUGUCUUCUUUAGUAAAUUACUAUAAUGGAAGUGGCUCCAAACCGGUAAAACCGUUGAAAAUGACAAAACUUUUACCUACCUCCUGUCUGGAAGGUAAUCUAUACGGCACAGAAACCGUAUGACUACAGAAGGACCUUUCGUUCUUUAGAUAAAUACACAAACUCACACACACACAAAGGGAAAUACAUUUAUAUACAACAAUAUACACACAUAUUUAUUUCUUUAUUGCCCACAAGGGACUAAACAUAGAGGGGACAAGCAAGGACAGACAAAGGGAUUAAGUCCAUUACAUCGACCCCAGUGCGAAACUGGUACUUUAUUUAUCGAACCCCUAAAGGAUGAAAGGCAAAGUCGACCUCGGAGGAAUUUGAAUCUACACACAUAUUGCUAUAUGCGUGUGUGAAUAGGUCUAUAAAUAUACAUACAUAUAUAUAUAUGUAUAUAUUUAUUUACUCUGUUACUAUGUAAUAAAUAUCCAUACUCCUGUGUUACGAAACAAUUUAACCCAAACAAAACUAACGAAUUACCUGAAGAGAUACAGACACAAACAUAUAUAUGCAUAUAUAAAUAUAUGUGCGUGUGUAUGUAUGUAAGUAUAUAUAUAUAUAUAUAUAUAUAUAUAUAUUAUGCAUGUGUGUAUGUAUAUAUAUGUAUACAUAUAUAUACACACACCUACACAUAUACAAGCACACACACACAGACGCAUAUAUAUAUAUAUAUAUAUAUAAUACAAAAUGGGACAAGAACGCAAAACAUUUGGACAACUAACUGAUACAAAAAGGGAUAACAAAACAUCCAGAUGCCCCUUUUUGUAUCACCUAGUUGUCAGAAUGUUUUGCGUUCUUGUCCCAUUUUGCAUUUAUAUAUAUAUAUAUAUAUAUAUAUAGCGGCGUACAUACACUUUGUUCUCUUAUAUAUAAGUAUAUAUAUAUAUAUUCAAUAUAUUCAUGAUAACUCUGCAAAGUUUAUCUCUCAACUUACAAGCGUAAAUUAUUGGAUUAGUUGGAUUAGUUGAAGGUGCAAAUGCAUGGUGAGUUCGAAAUCAGAGCCAAUUCGAUGUCGAACGAAAACACUGACCAACUUGCUUUUCUCUCCCAAUCUCUCCCUCUCCCUCUCUCUCUCUCCCUCUCUGUAUAUACAUACACAUACACAUACACACACACAUACACACAGAGAUACCAUGUAUAUAUAUAUAUAUAUAUAUAUAUAUAUAUAUAUAUAUAUAUA